ACGAAGGAUUCGAGCGUUAUCCGGAUUUAUUGGGUUUAAAGGGUGCGUAGGUGGACUAAUAAGUCAGUGGUGAAAGCCCGCAGCUUAACUGCGGAACUGCCAUUGAUACUGUUAGUCUUGAGUACAGUUGAGGUGGGCGGAAUGUGUCAUGUAGCGGUGAAAUGCUUAGAUAUGACACAGAACACCGAUUGCGAAGGCAGCUCACUAAGCUGUAACUGACACUGAGGCACGAAAGCGUGGGGAGCAAACAGGA
rnacentral:rRNA from 1 species